UACGUAGGGUGCGAGCGUUGUCCGGAAUUAUUGGGCGUAAAGGGCUCGUAGGUGGCCAACUAAGUCAGACGUGAAAUCCCUCAGCUUAACUGGGGAACUGCGUCUGAUACUGGAUGGCUUGAGAUUGGGAGAGGGAUGCGGAAUUCCUGGUGUAGCGGUGAAAUGCGCAGAUAUCAGGAGGAACACCGGUGGCGAAGGCGGGUCUCUGGGCCGAUACUGACGCUGAGGAGCGAAAGCGUGGGGAGCGAACAGG
rnacentral:rRNA from 1 species